UUUGUUUUUUCUUAUCUAUGAGAAGCCAUCAGCUCUUUUUAGAGAAGCAGUCUACAGUAUUAUUAUCUUUAAUCAAGUGUUUUGAUCUGCUAUUGAGAGGACUGUCCAUGAGGUUUUUGUGAAAAUUGUAUUAUGUAGGAGAGAUCAACAUUUGUGGCAACUUGGAGAACUUCCUCCUAUUCUUUAGGGCUGAUCUCACAGCAAACUAUAGAACCAUCAGUCUGGUACUUUAAAAUUUCAUGUCUAUUUGGGAGGCCGAGGUGGGCGGAUCACGAGGUCAGGAGUUCGAGACCAGCCUGGCCAACACAGUGAAACCCCAUCUCUACUAAAAAUAUAAAAAUUAGCUGGGCAUGGUGGCAGGCACCUACACAACUUAGUACUUUUUUUUGAGACAGAGUCUUGCUCCAUUGCCUAGGCUGGAGUGCAGUGGUGUGAUCAUGGCUGACUGCAAGCUCCACCUCCUGGGUUCACGCCAUUCUCCUGCCUCAGCCUCCCGAGUAGCUGGGAUUACAAGUGCCCGACACCACGCCCAGCCAAUUUUUUGUAUUUUUAGUAGAGAUAGGGUUUCACCAUGUUAGCCAGGAUGGUCUCGAUCUCCUGACCUCAUGAUCCACCUGUCUCGGCCU
rnacentral:lncRNA from 1 species